GUGGGGAAUAUUGGACAAUGGGGGGAACCCUGAUCCAGCCAUGCCGCGUGUGUGAAGAAGGCCUUUUGGUUGUAAAGCACUUUAAGCGAGGAGGAGGCUACCGAGAUUAAUACUCUUGGAUAGUGGACGUUACUCGCAGAAUAAGCACCGGCUAACUCUGUGCCAGCAGCCGCGGUAAUACAGAGGGUGCAAGCGUUAAUCGGAUUUACUGGGCGUCAAGCGCGCGUAGGUGGCCAAUUAAGUCAAAUGUGAAAUCCCCGAGCUUAACUGGGGAAGUGCAUUCGAUACUGGUUGGCUAGAGUAUGGGAGAGGAUGGUAGAAUUCCAGGUGUAGCGGUGAAAUGCGUAGAGAUCUGGAGGAAUACCGAUGGCGAAGGCAGCCAUCUGGCCUAAUACUGACACUGAGGUGCGAAAGCAUGGGGAGCAAACAGGAUUAGAAACCCCAGUAGUCC
rnacentral:rRNA from 1 species